UUGAACGUGGUUCGUAAACCUCCCACGCAAAAAAACUAAGGAAAA
rnacentral:ncRNA from 1 species